GUGAGGAAUAUUGCGCAAUGGAGGCAACUCUGACGCAGCCAUGCCGCGUGCAGGAAGAAGGCGCUACGCGUUGUAAACUGCUUUUAACCGGGAAGAAACCCCAGGACGUGUCCUGGGUUGACGGUACCGGAGGAAUAAGCACCGGCUAACUUCGUGCCAGCAGCCGCGGUAAUACGAAGGGUGCAAGCGUUAUCCGGAUUCAUUGGGUUUAAAGGGUGCGUAGGCGGAGCGUUAAGUCAGGGGUGAAAUCCUGCAGCUUAACUGUAGACUUGCCAUUGAUACUGGCGCUCUUGAGUGCGCUUGAAGUGGGCGGAAUGUGCCGUGUAGCGGUGAAAUGCUUAGAUAUGGCACAGAACACCAAUUGCGAAGGCAGCUCACUAAGGCGAUACUGACGCUGAGGCACGAAAGCGUGGGGAUCGAACAGGAUUAGAAACCCCGGUAGUCC
rnacentral:rRNA from 1 species